UACAGAGGGGGGCAAGCGUUGUUCGGAAUUACUGGGCGUAAAGGGCGCGUAGGCGGCCUUCUAAGUCGAACGUGAAAUCCCCGGGCUCAACCCGGGAACUGCGUCCGAGACUGAAAGGCUCGAAUCCGGGAGAGGGAUGUGGAAUUCCAGGUGUAGCGGUGAAAUGCGUAGAUAUCUGGAGGAAUACCGGUGGCGAAGGUGGCAUCCUGGACCGGCAUUGACGCUGAGGAGCGAAAGCCAGGGGAGCAAAGCGGG
rnacentral:rRNA from 1 species